CACGGAAUAAUCUCUUUCACCUGAUGAUAAUUAGCGCGAACCUAUUCAGUAUUCUAAUUACUCUUCCAUUCAUUGUGUAAACUUUGGAACAAUGUACCACUCCAUGUAAAUUCAUUCGAGGAUGACCAGGCAUUUUGGUAUGCCGUGGCAGCUUCCCAUAUAUCUCUGCAUUAAAGAUGCUUAUUCGAGACCGAAAAUUACAAUUUGGAUGGAAGAGAGUUCAUUAACAAGAUCCCCACAAGAGGCUGGCUCAACUUUUCCACUUCAUUUCAUCGAAAAUCCUAUCCGUUCGUACGGAAUCACAAUAGAAACAGCACGCUACUGGAAUAUUAUUAAAGAUCUUUUACGAU